rnacentral:rRNA from 1 species
UAAGGAAUAUUGGGCAAUGGACGAAAGUCUGACCCAGCCAUGCCGCGUGCAGGAUGACGGCCCUACGGGUUGUAAACUGCUUUUCUACAUGGAUAAACCUACUUUCGUGAAAGUAGCUGAAGGUAAUGUAGGAAUAAGGAUCGGCUAACUCCGUGCCAGCAGCCGCGGUAAUACGGAGGAUCCAAGCGUUAUCCGGAUUCACUGGGUUUAAAGGGUGCGUAGGCGGAUUUUCAAGUCAGUGGUGAAAUCUCUCAGCUUAACUGAGAAACUGCCAUUGAUACUGUUUAUCUUGAAUUAAGUUGAUGUGGGCGGAAUGUGUCAUGUAGCGGUGAAAUGCUUAGAUAUGACACAGAACACCGAUAGCGUAGGCAGCUCACAAAGCUUAUAUUGACGCUCAGGC